UAGUAUUAAAGGGCCGCGGUACUCUGACCGUGCAAAGGUAGCAUAAUAAUUAGGUCUUUAAUUGGGAUCUUGUAUGAAUGGUUGGACAAAAGAAAUACUGUCUUUAUAGUAUAAGUUGAAUUUAACUUUUAAGUGAAAAGGCUUAAAUAUUUUAAAAAGACGAUAAGACCCUAUAAAGCAUUUUAUUGGGGCGAUAGAGGUAAAAUUAUCAACUGCUUUUAGGCAUUACAAAAGUAAAUGGAAUGAUCCUUAAUAGAGAUUAAAAGAUUAAGUUACUUUAGGGAUAACAGCGUUAUUUUUUUUGAGAGUUCAUAUCGAAAAAAAAGUUUGCGACCUCGAUGUUGAAUUAAGAUAUCUUUGUGAUUGCAGCAGUUACAAUAGGAGGUCUGUUCGACCUUUAAAUUCUU
rnacentral:rRNA from 1 species